AACCCCCACCUGGAGGCUGAAGAUACAUUUUAUCACAUGUGGUGGUUAUGCCCCGAGACCAGGACAUACUGGAUCCAAAUCAAAAAUUGGUUACAAGAGAUCACUGGGUAUCAGAUUGAGCUCAGACCGGAAACCUUCCUCUUAGGAAUCAUCAAAGAUGGAUAACCGAAAGAAGUAAAAUACUUAUUAUUACACAUUAUAACAGCUGCCAGAAUAGCCUUUGCGCAAGUAUGGAAAACCCCAAAUACUCCUAAUGAAGAACUAAUAAUACAUAAAGUAACGGAAAGUGCUGAGAUUAACAUGCUAACAAUGAAACUGAAAGAAAAAGAUGACUCUGAAUUCUUUUCAAUUUGGAACAAUUGGUAUAAAUGGUUAACAAACAGA